UGCAGUAAAAUGUCACAAUGGCACGGUUUA
rnacentral:piRNA from 1 species